GGGCCCGUAGCUCAGGCGUUAGAGCGCUGCUUUGCAAGCAGAUGUCAGCGGUCGACUCGCUCGGCUCCACCA
rnacentral:tRNA from 1 species